UACGUAGGUGGCAAGCGUUGUCCGGAUUUUUUGGGCGUAAAGCGAGCGCAGGCGGUCUUUUAAGUCUGAUGUGAAAGCCCCCGGCUUAACCGGGGAGGGUCAUUGGAAACUGGGAGACUUGAGUGCAGAAGAGGAAAGCGGAAUUCCAUGUGUAGCGGUGAAAUGCGUAUAUAUAUGGAGGAACACCAGUGGCGAAGGCGGCUUUCUGGUCUGUAACUGACGCUGAGGCUCGAAAGCGUGGGGAGCAAACAGG
rnacentral:rRNA from 1 species